CACGUGGGAACCUUCCCUAUGGUUCGGAAUAGCUCAGGGAAACUUGGGUUAAUACCGGAUAAGCCCUUCGGGGAAAGAUUUAUCGCCAUUGGAUGGGCCCGCGUCGGAUUAGCUAGUUGGUGAGGUAACGGCUCACCAAGGCAACGAUCCGUAGCUGGUCUGAGAGGAUGAUCAGCCACACUGGGACUGAGACACGGCCCAGACUCCUACGGGAGGCAGCAGUGGGGAAUAUUGGACAAUGGGCGCAAGCCUGAUCCAGCCAUGCCGCGUGAGUGACGAAGGUCUUCGGAUUGUAAAACU
rnacentral:rRNA from 1 species